rnacentral:rRNA from 1 species
CGAUUAGAGUUUGAUCCUGGCUCAGAACGAACGCUGGCGGCAGGCUUAACACAUGCAAGUCGAACGCACCGCAAGGUGAGUGGCAGACGGGUGAGUAACGCGUGGGAACGUGCCCUUCAGUUCGGGAUAACCCAGGGAAACUUGGGCUAAUACCGGAUACGUGCGAGAGCAGAAAGAUUUAUCGCUGAAGGAUCGGCCCGCGUCUGAUUAGCUAGUUGGUGGGGUAAUGGCCCACCAAGGCGACGAUCAGUAGCUGGUCUGAGAGGAUGAUCAGCCACAUUGGGACUGAGACACGGCCCAAACUCCUACGGGAGGCAGCAGUGGGGAAUAUUGGACAAUGGGCGCAAGCCUGAUCCAGCCAUGCCGCGUGAGUGAUGAAGGCCUUAGGGUUGUAAAGCUCUUUCGCACGCGACGAUAAUGACGGUAGCGUGAGAAGAAGCCCCG